rnacentral:rRNA from 1 species
GUGCCAGCCGCCGCGGUAAUACGUAGGGCGCAAGCGUUGUCCGGAAUUAUUGGGCGUAAAGAGCUCGUAGGCGGCUUGUCACGUCGGGUGUGAAAGCCCGGGGCUUAACCCCGGGUCUGCAUUCGAUACGGGCUAGCUAGAGUGUGGUAGGGGAGAUCGGAAUUCCUGGUGUAGCGGUGAAAUGCGCAGAUAUCAGGAGGAACACCGGUGGCGAAGGCGGAUCUCUGGGCCAUUACUGACGCUGAGGAGCGAAAGCGUGGGGAGCGAACAGGAUUAGAAACCCGCGUAGUCC